rnacentral:rRNA from 1 species
CCUACGGGAGGCAGCAGUGGGGAAUUUUGGACAAUGGGCGCAAGCCUGAUCCAGCAAUGCCGCGUGCAGGAUGAAGGCCUUCGGGUUGUAAACUGCUUUUGUACGGAACGAAACGGUCCGCCUUAAUACGGUAGGCUAAUGACGGUGCCGUAAGAAUAAGCACCGGCUAACUACGUGCCAGCAGCCGCGGUAAUACGUAGGGUGCAAGCGUUAAUCGGAAUUACUGGGCGUAAAGCGUGCGCAGGCGGUUAUAUAAGACAGAUGUGAAAUCCCCGGGCUCAACCUGGGACCUGCAUUUGUGACUGUAUAGCUAGAGUACGGUAGAGGGGGAUGGAAUUCCGCGUGUAGCAGUGAAAUGCGUAGAUAUGCGGAGGAACACCGAUGGCGAAGGCAAUCCCCUGGACCUGUACUGACGCUCAUGCACGAAAGCGUGGGGAGCAAACAGGAUUAGAUACCCUGGUAGUCCACGCCCUAAACGAUGUCAACUGGUUGUUGGUCUUCACUGACUCAGUAACGAAGACUACGACGUGAGUAGACCGCCGUGGGAGGUACGGCCGCGAGUAGAACGUACGAAAGGAAGUUAGACGGCGUGAGACGUGACCGACGGACGACGACGAGGGAGGUUAGG